rnacentral:rRNA from 1 species
UACGGAGGGUGCGAGCGUUAUUCGGAAUUACUGGGCGUAAAGCGCGUGUAGGCGGGAAGGCAAGUCUGAUGUGAAAGCCCCGGGCUUAACCUGGGAAGUGCAUUGGAAACUGCAUUUCUUGAGUGCUGGAGAGGAAGGGGGAAUUCCCGGUGUAGAGGUGAAAUUCGUAGAGAUCGGGAGGAAUACCAGUGGCGAAGGCGCCCUUCUGGACGGCAACUGACGCUGAGACGCGAAAGCGUGGGGAGCAAACAGG